rnacentral:rRNA from 1 species
CCCUAUUAUAGUUAAUAUAAUUGUAAUUUUGAGUAGUAUAUGAUUUGAUCAGGAAACUUAAAGAAUUUGGCGGUGUAUAUUCUAAUUAGAGGAAUAUGUUUUUUAAUUGAUAAUCCACAUCUAUCUUACUUAAAUUUAUUUAUUUUGUAUAUCUCCGUCUAAAAAAGAUUUUUAUAAAGAUUCUUUUUAUUUUAUAAUAUAAAACAAGUCAGGUCAAGGUGCAGAUAAUAUUUAAGAUAAAAUGUAUUACAAUAAAUGUAUUUUUAGAUUUAAGUUUAAAUAGUUUAAUAAAAUUGGAUUUAUAAGUAAAUUCUUUUAAAUAAUAAUGAAUUGAAUUAUGUUAAUAUACAUGUACACAUC